AUACGGAGGAUGCAAGCGUUAUCCGGAUUUAUUGGGUUUAAAGGGUGCGUAGGCGGACGAUUAAGUCAGCUGUGAAAUGCCCGCGCUUAACGCGGGAAGUGCAGUUGAUACUGGUUGUCUGGAGUGCCGUUGCCGUGGGGGGAAUGUGUAGUGUAGCGGUGAAAUGCAUAGAUAUUACACAGAACGCCGAUUGUGAAGACACCUCACGAAGCGGUAACUGACGCUGAGGCACGGAAGCGUGGGGAUCGAACAGGAUUAGAUACCCUGGUAGUCCACGCAGUAAACGAUGAUUACUAGCUGUUUGCGAUAUACAGUAAGUGGCACAGCGAAAGCGUUAAGUAAUCCACCUGGGGAGUACGCCGGCAACGGUGAAACUCAAAGGAAUUGGCGGGG
rnacentral:rRNA from 1 species